rnacentral:rRNA from 1 species
UAGGGAAUCUUCGGCAAUGGACGAAAGUCUGACCGAGCAACGCCGCGUGAGUGAAGAAGGUUUUCGGAUCGUAAAACUCUGUUGUUAGAGAAGAACAAGGACGUUAGUAACUGAACGUCCCCUGACGGUAUCUAACCAGAAAGCCACGGCUAACUACGUGCCAGCAGCCGCGGUAAUACGUAGGUGGCAAGCGUUGUCCGGAUUUAUUGGGCGUAAAGCGAGCGCAGGCGGUUUCUUAAGUCUGAUGUGAAAGCCCCCGGCUCAACCGGGGAGGGUCAUUGGAAACUGGGAGACUGGAGUGCAGAAGAGGAGAGUGGAAUUCCAUGUGUGGCGGUGAAAUGCGUAGAUAUAUGGAGGAACACCAGUGGCGAAGGCGGCUCUCUGGUCUGUAACUGACGCUGAGGCUCGAAAGCGUGGGGAGCAAACAGG